UCUGGAAAAUGGAAGACAUGCAGAUACAUAGAGAAUAAAGUUAAUAUUUAAAUUUCUUUCAAAGUUGUGUCAUUAAUGAUCAGAGAUUUGAAACAGGGUUGCAUAAAAAAGCAGAACCACCAAACUAUUGGCAUCAAAGUCGGCAGAUGUUGUUCUAAAUUAUCAGAAAUUGGUAUCGGCACACAUUUGCAUUAGUGCAUUCCAUUUAGAUAGGGAUGUAAAUGUGUGUGUGUGUUUGUGUGUGUGUGUUUUCAACUUUUCCUUAAAUUGUAAGAUAUAUAUCAGGUAUAUCAGUCUCUUUAUGGACAAGUGUCUGAUAUAUAAUGAUGCAUUAAAUGUCUCUUCUUAUCUCUCCUCUCCUCUCGGCGGGUGGCUACUCUACGACCCUGCCCUGUCUCGCUGGGCUGUACAUUAAACAUAAGGAAAGGGGGCAAUUAAGUCCACUCUCUACACCUGGCUGAUGCAUAUAUUUAUUGGCCUGUCUGCCCGCCGGACAGGCUUUGAGCUCUGGCCUGCGCUUUUUUGGAGGUGGCGAUGAAGGCCUGCAGAGAUCAUUAAUGAGGAGUGCUGGUGCUGGUUUGACCCCUGCUGAACCCCCCAGAGUCCUUUCUGACCCCUCACCAGGUCAUUUGCCCUCCCAUGGCCGAGUGUCCAGAGAGCCUCGGAAAACCAGCGAAGGACUGGUGUUGCCUGAGGUGCAAUGCUUCCACUGAAGCUUCACGGAAUGCGUGUGUGUGUGCGCGCUUGCAAGGUCGAGCUUGUGCCCACGCACAAAGAAAUCGCCUGAGCGCUUGUGGCUCCCAUUCUAUCUACAGCUGAACCUAUCGAUUUCACAAGGCCUAAAAAAGUUUUCUACCAGCAAGAACAAAACCGUUAAAACAAACAAACACUUACAGAAUUGAGCAGCCUUGCCCUUUAGAACACAGAUAGAGUUUGACUCUGCAAAAUGAAACUUUUGAGUAAUUUAGAGUUCAUCGAAUGUCACAACGUCUGGCUUUACCUUGUUUUAAAGCUUCUAGACAAUUACGUUGAGGAAUAAGGAGGCGUAAUUGAUUUGGCAGAAUAAUAAAAAAUGACUGUAACCUUUCACUUAUCAAUGAAAGUAACGAGUUCUAAGAAUACCAGUAUGACUAAUGAAAGCGAAGCUCCACCAGCCGUAUUUCAGUCUGCUAUUUCGUCACGGGCAGAUUAUAUGCACUCUGAGAAACCAGCGCUUUCUGUCUUGCGCUAGUAAUGCCUUGAUAAAUUGAUUUAAUGUGUGAAGCUUCCUCGCUUUAUCCCAAGGCUAGUCUGGAACCUAGCAUAGAAGCCUUUCUGGGCUUAGACGGAAUUAGCCCCUCAUUGUAAAAGACCCUCCAUUCUGCUAGCCACCGCUGACCUUCGAUAAAGACAAGUCAUUGAUCCCGGAGUAAGCCCUGUUUUCCUUAUUUUUCUUCAUUUAAUUCCCCGUCAAACAGCAAGUUUCCCCCUCCCGCAAAGCUGAGGAUAAUAACCCGUGCAAACAGCGGGGCUAUACUGAAGAAACAAUUAAAGCUGCUCUUCGUUUCAGAGCACUUGCUCACACACAUAUGCUCACAAAGGGAGAAAAAAGGGGAGGGAAAAAAGAAAAGAAGCGGAAUAAUGACAUUUACAAAACGGGCGUUUGUCUACGAUGUGUUCAUUUGUUGGUUAAAAGUCAGGUUUUCCGUUGUGUGCAGUUCAUUUAGCAUAUGUGCUUUUUUGGAGGGCUGCUCCUGUAUUCCAAAAAUCUCCCGUAGGAACUGAAUGAGGCAAAGAGUGAUUAUUACUCUCCGGUUUCUCUCCGUUCACCUCAACUCACCUCACUUCUCACCCUCCUGUCUGACUGUACAAGCUUAAGUUUACAAAACACAUAUUUUUAAACUCUCACUUAAUACUGAAAUUAUGUGUGGAAAUACACAGCUAUUCUGAUUUACAUUUGUAAGCCUGUUAUUUCUAAAAGUACUGUCUGAAAGUGGCCAAUUCUGCCAGUUCUGUGUGUUUUAGACUUUAUUAUUUGAGUGUCUCUGAGAGAGUCUGUGUGUGACUGUUUUGGUGCUUGGCUGAGAGUUUUGUGGUGUGUUGUGUGUCAGGAGAGAUGACUCAGGCCACAUGUAUGGAGGUGUGUGUGUGUGUGUGUGUGUGUGUGUGUGCAGAGGGAGGGGGGUUACUUAGCUAUACAUUACAGACAAUGUUAAGCUGAAUUACCUAAAUUACAGAAUGUCUUAAAAGAUAAAAAGUAUUCAUAAAUUAAGAAUGAUUUUUUAAAUGAUAAAAAUGGGUAGAUGUGUGUUUUUUCUUUCUUUGUAAUGUCUGAAGCACCUGCUUGCAACCAUUCACGUAUGCAAAGGUAUUUAUGUAUUAAUUUCUAAGAAUGUAAGAAGUUUUUUUUUAGGCAUUGAAAUAGGUUUGUGUUAAGGUUAGUCUGUAUUUAUAAUUAGCUUAAUAUAAAAACAGUAUAUGAUAUAUCCCUAUUUUAAUAGCUAGAUUAACAUGUGUAUAUGUGUGCAGGUGUGUAAGAGCACUGCCAGAGAGACAGAAUUUACUCCGAAACUGUGUCAAAUCACUAGCCAUUUCCAAACCGAAUCAGUUAACCUUAUGUUAUAUCUUGUCGGCUCAGUCCCCAGGUAAAGUUCUUCACGCUAUAGCCACAGCGUGUAUUAAAUCAUCCAUCUGCCGGUCCUCAGACGUGUGUGUGUGCGUGUGUGAGUGCACUCUUUGUGAGCUGCUCUGAAAGGUGUGUAUUUGUGUUGUUGUGGUAUAACUUGGUUGGAGAUGAUGUGGAAGGGGUCUCUCUCAGUUCCAGCAAAGCAAACAAACAAAAAAAACAAAAAAUCCAGGGCCAAGAGAGGUGCAUAGAAAUUAUUAACCAUCCACACACACUCUCCCAAUUCUUCUUUAUUCUCUCUUUCCUGCUCUGCUUCUCUUGCCUAAUAAAUGCUUCAUGUCACCAUCAAACAGGGCCUGACUUGCUCCAGCAGAGGCAGAGAGAGGGAGCGGAAAGAAAGAGAAUUGGAGAUGGCAGGGCGUGGGGGUUGUGUACUGUGGGGCCUUAGUGUGGAUGCAAUGGCUAGAUGGAUAGAUGGACAGAUGUUAAAAAUGUACAGUUUUGGCCUGUUCUGUAGUGACGGACAGGGACCUGUCUGAUUCUCUUUCUAACUGUAUCUAGAUCGAUCAUUAAACUGUGAUAAAAUCUGAUAUAAUACCACUCUAUACAUUCUGUCUGUUCACACACACACGUAUACACACAGUUUCUCAGGUGCAAGCACAUUAGUUUCUUAUACAACACUGUAAUAUGUUCAGGCAAAGUGUACAAUGCAAUACUUUACAGAUAACUACUGAAAUAAUCAGUCCGUAAUAAUCUGUAAACUUUAGUCCAAGUACGUGGCAAGAAAAAGUAUGUGAACCCUUUGGAAUUAGCUUGUUUUCUGCAUUAAUUGGUCAUGAAAUGUGAUCUCAUAUUCAUCAAAGUCACAAGUAUAAACAAACAACAGUGUGCUUAAGCUGAACACAUCCCAUGUAAAAAGUAACUGAACCGUUGGAUUUAAUAAUUGGUCGAUCCUCCUUUGACAGCAAUAACCUCAACCAAGCGUUUCCGGAUGUUCAGAAGGCCGCUGUGUGUGUGUGUGCGUGUCUGUGUGUUAUGUUAUGUUUCAGUUGCUUUAUGUCAUUAAAGUUAUGUUGAAUGUUCUGCCAGUUCCCGCCUCCUCCUUGCCCAUCGUAAGAACCCUGUUACACUAACUUCAAGCAGUUAGAACAAUGUGACAAAAAUAUAUGCAAGUCCUACCCAAAUGUUUAAAUGUCACGAUUUUUACCAUCUAUUUGCAUUAGUUUAUAUCCAGCUGGUCAUGUUUAUGCAUUUGUUAGCCAGCUAAGUUGCAUAUUUAAAGCUAGUGAUGUGAGAAACCAAAUUAAUAUCUUCAUGCAGCCGAGAGAAAUGUAUAAACAAAUCAGAAACGCUUCUGAUUUUAAUUCAGAUUUUUUUUAUCCUCACUGUAAUACGAUGACUUCAGAUCGAUCACAUUCUUGCGCUAAAAAAAGGCUAGACACAUACAGUUUAACAGAAAGCAGUCAAAUGCUUUUAAAGUUUUUUUUAAAUUAGACACAUCAUCUAAAAAACAGCACUCCUACACAAAAUGCUGAAUAAACAAAAACAAAGGGAAACAAAGACUCAUCUCACUUGCAGUUACAUAAAAAAACAAAUGGAUGGUUGCAAAAGCAUUCAGUGUGAACAGUCCCUUACAGUUGGUGGAGGUAUUUGGCCGUUGCGUCUUGCUCUCUUAUAAGCGUUUCUCAGAUUAAGUAAUGAGUUGUUUAAAUGCUUUGUCUGGAAAGAUGUUCAACUUGGAAAUGUGUGUCUCGAGAUCCUCAUGUUCGGUUCCAGUCUGUUGUGCUCUGUCUGUUUGAACAGCCCAUGACUUGGGCUCAUAGUCUGAGUUACUUCACCACCAAGUUCAGCCGAAUACCACUGCUGCCUGGUAUUGCUACCCUACAUACAACUGUAAUUAAUAAAAAACAAUGUGGUAUUUCGCUGUUAUUAUGAAGCUUGAGUCUGGAGUAGUAGGAAUCAGUGCAAGUGUAACACCAUGUCUACUGAAGCGUUUUCCCCCCUCAUUUUACUUUUGACCUAACAUUUGAGAAUAUGGACAGACUAAAAUAUUUUAUUUAUUUAUUUUAUACACAUUAGUUGAAAAUGAAAUGCUCUUUUUUUAACAGCCAGGAUAGGAAUGUUCUAUGCAAUAAUAUAAUGGUGCUGAAUGGUUUAUGUAUUUAUUGCGCCCCCUUGUGGACUAAGGAAACAACGUCAAUUUAAAAAUCAACUGACUUUACAGUUCGAAUAUUAGUUCAUAUAUAUAUAUAUAUAUAUAUAUAUAAUAUUGAUAUAUUUAUUUCAUUAAAAAAAGUACAAUACAUUUUCAUGGUUCAGUCAGUACUGUUUAUUUUUGUAAUAAAGUUCAGCACUAUUUUACUUUAUUUUUUUCAUUCAGUAUCAAUUCUAAAAACUAUCGGUUGAUUAAUCGGUUAUCGGCAGGUACUGCCCAACUUAGUUAUCAGUAUCUGUAAAAUCCAAUAUUGGUCUACCUCUAGUCACAGCAGUCUCAGGCCAGAGGUUAGGGUGGAGCUAAUUACAACACAACAAUCAUGGCGGAGCUAAAUACAACACAGCAAUAAUGGCGGAGCUAAUUACAACACAACAAUCAUGGUGGAGAACACGAGACAUAUUACAAUAUGGAGAGUUCAAACAUCAGUUGCAGCAAUGCAAAACCUUUUUGCAUGGCAAGUGUGUUUAAGCUGACAAGACUGGACAAAUCAAAAUUGCAUCUCUAAAGCGACUAUGUUCACUUUACUUUUCACAUAUUUGGGAUUGGGCUGUAGAGCAUCACUCCAUUACCACUGUCUGUACUGAGCAACUAGUUUCAAGGAGGGACGAUUUUGAAAAUUAUUACUAUGUAAACAUAAAUAGCAUCCCACUUCAGCCAAAAUGCCAUCAACCACCUGCUCAACAGUGCCCACGCCAGCGGUCAGAGACACACCACCAACCACCAGUGCACCAGUGCCCACGCUAGCGUUCAGAGAUACACCACCAACCACCAGUGCACUAGUGCUCACGCCAGCGGUCAGAGACACACCACCAGUGCCCACGCCAGUGGUCAGAGACACACCACCAACCACCAGUGCACCAGUGCCCAUGCCAGAGGUCAGAGACACACCACCAGUGCCCACGCCAGUGGUCUGAGACACACCAUCAACCACCAGUGCCACAGUGCCCACACCAGCAGUCAGAGACACACCAUGAACCACCAGUGCCAAUAAUUGGUGUGCUUUAUAAGUAUUUGUUGGAAGAAAGAAUAAGGACACAUGCUUUUAUUGAAAACAACUUACAGUACAAUCUAUUGACUUAGAUAUGCAUUUAUCUAAUGCAUUUCCUGGGAACCCAAAACAUUGUCGUUACUAUCAUCCUUGCUCUAUCUCUACCAGUUGAAAUGCAGGAGCUCUGUAGCUCAACUGGUAGAGCAUGGAUCAUGCUUAACCUGGCAUAUACUGUACGAUACUGUAAACACAUAUUUGCAUAGCACUUUUUAUGCAAUUUGAACUGUUCUUGAAAUUGUUUUUUUAUUGUUGUUUUUCAGUAUGCAGUCUGCACUUUGUCUAGGGUGCACCCUUUGAUUUUACACCUUUUGACCAUUCCAUUAUAAGGAAAUGGAGGACUCUGAUACUUUUGGAUAACUUUGGAGUUAUCUCUGAAAGGACAGAAGCCUUUGUUCAGGAGUCACUUCCAAGAGGAGAACAAGGCACUCCCAGCAGCGAUGGGUGGCUACCAAUAAUUAAAGACCUCAAAACAGUUGUGAAAUGGCUGCAUGGGAAUAAACAGCUGUUCAGGGGCACAGUUGCACAGUCGUUUUCUACAGUUGGAAGAAGAGGACAAGGAAAAGGCCAUCCACAAUCUUUUUGAAGAACCAGAACUUUCCAAUGAGACUUUCACAUUUCAUUUUCUUUUUAGGUAUGACAUGGAGAUUUGUUUCAUGGAAUUUCAUAAUAAGCUGGGACUAGGAGUAAAUUGUUCUUUUGAUGAGUUUUAAGUUGUCCAUUUGUUGUAUAAAGUUUGAGUGUUUCUGUUAAAUUGUUGCUGUUGUUUACAAGUUGUUUAAAUUAUUAUUUUAGUUCUAUUUUAUCAAUAUUAACAUUUCUUAUUAGUUUUUUAAUUGUCCAAUAUACAAUAUAUACAUUUUUGCUAGGCUUUGAAAUUGAAUGUUUAUUUUUAAUUUGAUAU